ensembl:snRNA U1 U1 spliceosomal RNA
CUACUUACCUGGCAGGAGAGAUACCAUAAUCACAAAGGUGGUUUUUCCAGGGUGAGGUUUAUCCAUUGCACUCCGGAUGUGCUGACCCCCUGCCAUUUCCCCAAAUGUGGGAAACUCCACUGCAUAAUUUGUGGUAGUGGAAGACUGCAUUCGCACUUUCCCC